CGACUCCUCCAAUGGAUCUGAAGAUUCAGCUAGUCACCGAGUUUUCCCGGAAUUAACUAACCCUAGCGGAAACCAACCAGAAAAAUCUAACCCAGGCCGCCGAGGCUAAGAUAAGAAGAUGAUGGAUCAGGAUGAAGCUUAUCUAUGAUAGUAAUAAUAAUGUUGCGGAACCGACAUGUAAGUAGCCGAAAAGGCCAUGUUUGGUAUCACAAAAUUGCAUAAGGUGAUCAGCUCUGUCCCAUGCUUACUAUCUGGUGUAUGACGGGUUUCGGCUUGUCGAGUAUUACGCUUUUGUGUUAUGAAAUAUCAUCUUAAAUAAAAACCAUGGCUACCAUGGAUAUGGUGUGUGCUUGUUUAUGUAUAUGUUUUUUUUAUAUAUGCUUCAUCUGUUAAUGAAUCUUCUUCAGUACUGGUAUAAACCAUAUAUUGAUGCAACCAAAUCAAUUGAAGUUCUUGGGCAUAAUCCACAAUUUUUAGUCAUGGUAAAAUUCAGGAAGUUCUUUUCCCUAGAAGAAAGUCUCUUCAUUUUUGCCCGUUUCAACUAGAAGUUAGCUUGUUUCCAUGGCACCUUUUCCUUUCACUAUAAAGAAAGUUUCUUCAUUGCUUUUUCCAACUUGGAGAAAUGAAUCGUAAGAGGAAACAAAUCAACGGAGAAAUCAGAUGAAACUCAUAGAAGGUAUAGCCAGUUAAGGAAGAUUUCAGCUCUUUAGCUUCAUUAAUCUCAUGCCUCGUUAGCUUGAAUCAAGAGUAAAAAAAUCAAAGUACAACUUUUUUUUUAUGUGUAUAUGUUGCAGUAUGUGGUUUAUUUGAGUGAAAAGACAUAUGAAAAAGAAUGGGCAAAAUGCGGGAGCAAAGUAGAGUGGAACGAGAGCAUAGUGAAGUGGGGCAAAUGAUAGGUUGGGGGCUGUGGGGGGCAACGCCCCACAGUAUGGUUUAGGGUUAUUUUUUGGAAUUUCAUUCUAAGGGUUAAUAUAAAUACUAUUUUAUGUAAUCUUAAUUUUGACAUAGUGAAUAUCCUCUUUCCAUGUUCCCGUUGACGUAGGCAAUUAGUCGAAUCACGUUAUAUCUUCAUGUUCUUCUUUCUCGUUUUUCUAUUUUUUUUUCACCAUUAAUCAUUACAUGGACUCCAACUAUGUAUAUAUAUAUAUAUAUAUAUAUAUAUAUAUAUCAAAUAUCGGAGAAUAUGGCAUUGAAGCCAUUACUUAUUGAAGCAUUAAUAGUGGGAAACACUCACAGUACUACAUGGAAAAAGACGAGGAACAAAUAUCAAAAUAUAUUAAGGCAUGACGCUUCCACAGUACUAUACACCAGCAUAUGGGUGGGGAACAUUAACCUUAGAAAAGUUAGGAAAAAAAAAAACCUAAAGAAAAAUGUGAGCCGUCAUAUUUGAAUUCUAUUUUUAAACUUGAUGUUCAAUGUUGAUGGCAAUUACUGACUAGAUAUAUUAAUAUGAUUGCCACUGUUUGAUGCAUUGCCUUAAUUACAGUAAUAAGGGAAGUUUUUUCCUUUUUGUUUGUUUUAAUCAAUGGUAAGAAAAAGGCCUAGAUAAAAAUAAAUAAAAAUAAAAAUUUAUUGUAACAUUAUGCUUAUUAUGAAACUGUCAUUACAUGAAAUUAAUGCAUAUAUACAUAUUGUUAUAGCAUAAUAAUGUCGUUUUUGAGCUCUAGGAUGAGUCAACCAAAUGAUAAUUCUUAAAACAAACUUAAUCUGACUUAUCGUUAUUGAACAAUAAUUGAUUUUUAGAUGAAAUCAGUCAAAAACCCAAUUUAAUAAUUAGUAUCAAAGUCGAUGGUGAUAAGUUCGAGUUAUGAUUAUUAAAAUAGAAAUAUUUUAUUAAGUACAUGUUUGGAUACAAUUUUUUUUCUUUCUAAAAUUUAAAAUUUUUAUAUAAAAAUGUAACAUCUCAUAAAAAAAUUUGUCAAUAAAAGUUGCAAAUUAUAAGGAGUUAUACGUCCUCCGUACUACCUGCAUAUGAGUGGGGAACAAGCACCAUAGAAAAGAAGAAAAAAAUUAAUAUGAUUGCCAUCAUUUGAUGUAUUCACUUACAAAAGCCCGGCUUCUUGGCUAGGAUGCAUAUGCCUUCUUCUCCCGUAAGAAAUAAAUACAUAAAGGAAGUUAUUUCCUUUCAUUUUGGAGAAUCGAAAGGUUUGUGUUAUUUCUACAUGUUGCUUGGGCAUUGUUGGGAUGUCAUUUGUUUUUAGUAUAUUUGGCUCUGUGCCAGUCAGGGGCAUCACAGAGUGGCCUCCCCAGGAUUCGAACUUGAGACCUUAGGCCUUAAGGCUUAGGACGUUGCCCUCCUGGUACCAUCUGAGUAAAUAUACUCAGAAAAAAUGACGUCCCAACAGGCAUGACAGUAAUUGAACUUCAUUAAAUUUGUCAAAAUACAAUUUUAUAUGUCUUGACAUAUGUUUUAAUGGAAAGAAAAAUACCUGGAUAAAAAAAAGUAAAAAAAAAAAAUUAAUGUAACAUUAUGCUUAUGAUGAGCUAUGACGGCUAGAGAUAUUAACACAUGUAAAAUGAUGAACUUUUUAUGAGGAUUAAUGAGUGACCAUCAAUAGUAUGGUAUUUAUUGCUUAUUUUGGACAAGUAUGCAUGCAUGGCUUUCACGUAUGAAUGAGCCAAUUAUUUACAAUUAACAAGCCUCUUUCUUGUAUGCAUGCACAUAAAUUUUAAUUCCGUCUUGUUUGAAAUAGCUCUUUGCUUUUGACUCUAGGGUUGAAUCAAAACCAAAAAUAAAGUUAAAGCCAUGAUGAUAUAACUAAUGGCAGAGCUAUCACAUGCCCAAAGGAGGCAAGUGUCCCUCCUAAAAAACUAAAUUCUUAUUAAGUUAAAGGGAAAAAAAUUUACUUAUUUAUAUGACAUUACCCCUAAAACCAAUUUUUUCUAUUUUGUCUCUGUGCCUUACAUUUUUGGCUCCAUAAUGAACAUAACUUUGUCUUUAAAAAAAUUUAUAAUUUAGGAUAGUAAAUAUUGAAAGUCGUUGCUAUUUUCUAAUUUUUUUUAUAAAAAAAAAAAGAUUUUUAAGAGUUUUUAUAUCUUAUAUAAAAGUCAUUACUAGUUUUUAUUUUAAAAAUAUAAAAUAAAAAUCCAAACAAACCUUAAAUUAAUCCUUCAAACAAGUCUUAAGUUCUUAUAUUUUUCUUUUUAUGAUUGGUAAAAUGCCAAUCUUAAUUUCCAAGGUUGAGGAAAUACAAGAUUAAAAUUGAUUAUUAAUAGAAAUAAAUAAAUAAAUAUAUAAGAUAUAUCUCUUGAGAAAUAUGAUUGCUAGAUGUACUAGAAAACAAUAGCUUCCAUGCUUCGUCAUCCAUUAGUGAACCCUAAAAUGUAAAUAAUAGCUUAAUCAUCAAUCUUUAUCACAAUUGCUUCUUUGGUGCCCACAACAUCUUCCUUGGUGCUUAUUACAUUGAGAUCGAACCCACUACUGCACUUAGUGCUCAAACAUUUUUAUGCUACCCCCCACCCUAACAAUCCAGAUGAUAGUUAUGAGACUCCCUUAUAAAUACUCAACCUUGAAAAAUCUCUCUUGUAUAUCUCUUCAAAGCAAGUUUCUCAAAUCAGGAGACUGGUAAACUCUUCAACUAACAAAACCCUAGUUUCAUUCCAUUUUUCCUUUGCUUGUUUUAGAUCAUUUGCAUGUGACAAAAUUUUGUGACAUCUGUAGCUGCUUCUUUCAGGUUCAGCAAUUGAUUAUCAGCUUGAUCAUGAAGACGCUACUUGUCCUCUGCGCUGCCUUAGGGUUUUUCUUGGUAACCCUGAAAGCUGAUGCAGGAAGGGUUACUUUGGAGGAAACGUAUAAGAAGGUGGGUGUUGGCGCUAAUGAUCAUUUUAAAACCAUUGCUGGAACCAUGGACAAUCAAGUAGCCAGCAGCGGGGAUGGUGAGUCCUCCAAUGGAUCUGAAGAUGCAGAUAGUCACCGAGUUUUCCCGGAACUAACUAACCCUAGAGGAAACCAACCAGAAAAAUCUAACCCAGGCCGCCGAGGCUAAGAUAAGAAGAUGAUGAAUCAGGAUGAAGCUCAUCUAUGAUAGUAAUAAUAAUGUUGUGGAACCGACAUGUAAGUAGCCGAAAAGGCCCAUGUUUGGUAUCACAAAAUUGCAUAAGGUGAUCAGCUCUGGUGUAUGACGGGUUUCGGCUUGUCGAGUAUUACGCUUUUGUGUUAUGAAAUAUCAUCUUAAAUAAAAACCAUGGCUACCAUGGAUAUGGUGUGUGCUUGUUUAUGUAUAUAUUUUUUUGAUAUAUGCUUCAUGUGUUAAUG
rnacentral:lncRNA from 1 species